rnacentral:misc_RNA from 1 species
AACCAUUCUCACCUGCGGCUAGACCUGCGGAAGGAUCAUUAAAAAACUUUGCCCGCGGACCCUGGGUCCAAGGCGCAAAACCCACACUGUGUGCACUGUCAUCGUUCUUUUGGCAGGGGCUUGGGGUGUCUUCCAACUUGGGGAACCUCAACUUCUCGUCUAGCUCUAUCCACCUCGGACAGCUGGACAUGAGAAGCAGUUACUCUGCCAAGUGACCCUUAAAAGCACGCUUUUUUGUCU